rnacentral:lncRNA from 1 species
CAGGGGGAAGAAGGUGGGAUCAGCUGGCUUGCUAAGUCUUCCCACUCUCAUCUUUCUCUCUUGCUGGAUGCUUCCAGCUCUUGAACAUCAGAUUCCAGGUUCUGCAGCCUUUGGACUCUUGGACUUAGACCAGUGGUUUGCCGGGGGAUCUCAGAUCUUCAGCCACAUACUGAAGUCUGCACUGUUGGCUUCCCUACUUUUGAGGCUUUGGAACUCUGACUGAGCAACUACUGGCUUCGUUGCUCCUCAGCUUGCAGGUGGCCUAUCGUGGGACUUCACCUUGUGAUCACGAGCAAAUGAGUGAUGCCAACAGGAAAUGACGUGGAAAGAGAUGACUUCUUUGGAGCAGCCAUGAUGGAGUUAGAAAGGAGUUGGAGGAUGAGCAGGGCCUGGGAGUCCCUCAUCGCUCAGACUGUACUGAUACAGGAGUCUCUCAGAAAGACAACAUUUUCUCCUCCUAAAGGAAGCAGGUUUCUGUCACCCAGGCUGGAGUACAGUGGCACGAUCACAGCUCACUGCACCCUCAACUUCCCAGGCUCAGGUGAUUCUCCUGCAUCAGCCUCCCGAGUAGCUGGGACUACAGGUGUGGACACAUUGAGAAGUCACUAUCUAUGAACUAGGAAGCAGGAUCUCACCAGACAUCGAAUCUGCUGAUGCCUUCAUCUUGGACUUCUCUCUCAGCCUCCAGAACUGUGAGAAAUAAAGUCCUGUUGUUUAUAAGCCACUCAGUCUAUGGUAUUUUAUUACAGCAAACCGAAUGGGCAAAGACAUGGGUGAAGUUAUCCAGGACCC